rnacentral:lncRNA from 1 species
CCCACUCUGAAGAUAACAUCAGUCUGUACCGCGCAGGGGAGCGGGGAGUCAGGUUUCCCCAGGGCCUGGUAGGCCAGCGGUCCUCCUGCGGCUCCCAAACUGGACUUGGUCCCUACCUGGGAGUGUGCGGUGGACUCACAGGCACACAGCGGCCAGGUUCGGAGUGCUUCUGUUUACAGUUCCAAUGUGAACGAGGCAGGGGCCUUUCUGACAAGGUUUCAGCCCUCUGGGCCCUCCGAGGUGUCUGAAGGGCCACCGUCUUAGGCCUCUGCUUCUUUCCCUUGACAACAAGAUGCAGACAUCAGCCCGCUCCCUUCUCCUCCUAACCGCCAUCGAUUUUUCUUUCCCUCCCUCUGUUCUAUUUAUGGCUCCUCCGGCCCCUCACAAUGGCAUUAUUCCUUCGGAGGACGCGGGCUGCAGGAGGAGGGGCCUUUCACAGCUGUGUCGCUGUGUCCGGAGGGAGGGAGGCUCCAGCUUGGUCUUCUCUUCCGUCUGUCGCCUUGUCGCUCACCGCCCAGACACCCCAUCUUCUGCAGCCUUCUGUUUCUCCCAGGUUCCUUGCUGUUCUGGGGAGGGAGCUGCUUUACUGUCAGGUGUCAGAAGGCUUUGCCUGGGCUGUGGAGACUCUGGCUGCAAGAUGGCCCGAAGUCUGCACGCAUCCUUGUGCCGCCCCCAGAUCUUCUGAAUUCGUCCAUGCACAGCUCUUCCAGUGGGGGACAUAUUCCAAACCAGCCCCUUGAUGGGAUUUUCUAAUUUCUCCCAAACUAAACAGUAAGUAAAUCAGCACAGAAAUCACGGGCGCUGUCUUGAACCCUUUGGCAGCAAGUGCUCUUCGGAGAGGAAUAAAGAAUUCCUCCCUGAGCGUGGGCCCAGCCCAAAGUGGAGCAGAGCAAUUUUCUACUCUUUUUUUCUGUCCUGAGUAUUGAAUCCAGGGCCUCUGCACUGUGCUACAUCUUCCACCCCAGCCUUUUUUUUUUUUUUUUUUCAUUUUGAGACAGGGUCUCGCUGGGUCACUUAAUUGCCCAGUCUGGGCUCAAACUUUC